CAGUCGCCACGGGAAUACGGAGGGUGCAAGCGUUAUCCGGAUUUAUUGGGUUUAAAGGGUCCGUAGGCGGAUCUGUAAGUCAGUGGUGAAAUCUCACAGCUUAACUGUGAAACUGCCAUUGAUACUGCAGGUCUUGAGUAAAUUUGAAGUGGCUGGAAUAAGUAGUGUAGCGGUGAAAUGCAUAGAUAUUACUUAGAACACCAAUUGCGAAGGCAGGUCACUAAGAUUUAACUGACGCUGAUGGACGAAAGCGUGGGGAGCGAACAGGAUUAGAUACCCCUGUAGUCCCUGUCUCUUAUAA
rnacentral:rRNA from 1 species